GAUGAAGAACGUAGCGAAAUGCGAUAAGUAGUGUGAAUUGCAGAAUUCCGUGAAUCAUCGAAUCUUUGAACGCACAUUGCGCCUUCUGGUAUUCCGGAAGGCAUGCCUGUUCGAGAGUCAUUAACAACCGUUUCGAUCCCUUUCAUUCAGAAAUUACAAAGAGGAAAAGGGUUUGGUUAUGGUGGAGGAGGGAAAGGGAGCGUUUAGCCUGUAAAAAAAGAGGCUGUGUUCCGCCUCCCCCCCAAAAUUGUACAGGCGGUCGUGUGCGCCCACGCAUCGAGGUGUUGUAAAAGCUGCCACGGCACUUUUCACCUGUGCAGUGCGAGAUUGGCCAGCCGGUUUAAAAACCCCUCCAAACAAUCAAAGGUUGACCUCGGAUCAGGUAGGGAUACCCGCUGAACUUAAGCAUAUCAAUAAGCGGAGGA
rnacentral:misc_RNA from 1 species